AGUCGGACGGCAGCGCGGGGGCAACCCUGGCGGCGAGUGGCGAACGGGUGAGUAAUACAUCGGAACGUGUCCUGGAGUGGGGGAUAGCCCGGCGAAAGCCGGAUUAAUACCGCAUACGCUCUAUGGAGGAAAGCGGGGGAUCUUUCGGGACCUCGCGCUCAAGGGGCGGCCGAUGGCAGAUUAGCUAGUUGGUGGGGUAAAGGCCUACCAAGGCGACGAUCUGUAGCUGGUCUGAGAGGACGACCAGCCACACUGGGACUGAGACACGGCCCAGACUCCUACGGGAGGCAGCAGUGGGGAAUUUUGGACAAUGGGGGCAACCCUGAUCCAGCAAUGCCGCGUGUGUGAAGAAGGCCUUCGGGUUGUAAAGCACUUUUGUCCGGAAAGAAAACUUCCGCCCUAAUACGGUGGGAGGAUGACGGUACCGGAAGAAUAAGCACCGGCUAACUACGUGCCAGCAGCCGCGGUAAUACGUAGGGUGCAAGCGUUAAUCGGAAUUACUGGGCGUAAAGCGUGCGCAGGCGGUUCGCUAAGACCGAUGUGAAAUCCCCGGGCUUAACCUGGGAACUGCAUUGGUGACUGGCGGGCUAGAGUAUGGCAGAGGGGGGUAGAAUUCCACGUGUAGCAGUGAAAUGCGUAGAGAUGUGGAGGAAUACCGAUGGCGAAGGCAGCCCCCUGGGCCAAUACUGACGCUCAUGCACGAAAGCGUGGGGAGCAAACAGGAUUAGAUACCCUGGUAGUCCACGCCCUAAACGAUGUCAACUAGUUGUCGGGUCUUCAUUGACUUGGUAACGAAGCUAACGCGUGAAGUUGACCGCCUGGGGAGUACGGUCGCAAGAUUAAAACUCAAAGGAAUUGACGGGGACCCGCACAAGCGGUGGAUGAUGUGGAUUAAUUCGAUGCAACGCGAAAAACCUUACCUACCCUUGACAUGUACGGAACCCUGCUGAGAGGUGGGGGUGCCCGAAAGGGAGCCGUAACACAGGUGCUGCAUGGCUGUCGUCAGCUC
rnacentral:rRNA from 1 species